CAACCUAUUCAGCGAUGAAUAGCUGAACUGUUAGAAGUCAGCAGAGGUCAUAGUACUACGAAAUACGCGUUAUCGUGGGAAGGAC
rfam:Caloramator quimbayensis strain TSBA 833 genome assembly, contig: Ga0105845_127